UACGGAGGGUGCAAGCGUUGUCCGGAAUCACUGGGCGUAAAGGGCGCGUAGGCGGCUCAUGAAGGCUGUGGUGAAAGUCCGGGGCUCAACCUCGGAUCGGCCGUGGCGACUCGUGGGCUGGAGCACUGUAGAGGCGGGUGGAAUUCCGGGUGUAGCGGUGGAAUGCGUAGAGAUCCGGAAGAACACCAGUGGCGAAGGCGGCCCGCUGGGCAGUGGCUGACGCUGAGGCGCGACGCGUGGGGAGCAAACAGG
rnacentral:rRNA from 1 species